rnacentral:lncRNA from 1 species
AGGAGGAAAGGGGAGACACAAGGAAGGAGAAGGGCCUUUUCAGAGCCUGCAGCGCUAUGGGAGAGUGACCAAGGAUGUUUGACAAGGGCAGAGGGAAUAAGCUACUAAGAUUAGGGUAGGAGGAGAGGCAGAGAUAAAAAAUUGCUAAGGGCGCACUCUUCCAGAUUCAAGGGUCAAGAGAGUGGCUGGAGCUAAAGGCAAGAAAGUCAAAAGAGAAGCCGAGUUAGGGCUGGUGGCAGCUGAUCCCAGAGCUAAGUGGAGUGGAACAAAAGAGAUGUUGGGAGGGGCUGUUAUCGUGGCCUCGGAAAGGCGGUAGCAUUUUAAAACUACAUGCAACAGGGAGUGGCACUUUUAGAAGAUGUGUUCCUGUUGGAGUGGUUGUGACCUUAUUGGAGGAAGUGUGUCACUAUGGAGGCAGACUUUAAGACCCUCAUCCUAGCUGCCUGGAAGUCAGUAUUUUGCUAGCAGCCUUCAGAUGAAGAUGUAGAACUCUCAGCUCCUCCUGUACCAUGUCUGCCUGCACAUUGUCAUGCUCCCACCUUGAUCAUACUGGACUGAACCUCUCAACCUGUAAGCCAGCCCCAAUAAAAUGUUGUCUUUGUAAUAGU